UACAAAAGUAGAACAAAAUUCUUCUUAAGACACUUGUAAUAGGAACCGUCGUAUAGUCUUCUAUUUACUGCGUCGACUGAAACGCAAGAAGGUUGACGAUUACGACGAUUUAAGAAUUCAUUAAGUCGCGAACAUGAGGGGAUGUUAGUGGCGCGCGCAUAUAUACUUACAGUGCAAAUGCCACAGCGAUAUAUAUGUCACACUAGGCGAGCCUCGACUUGUCGAGUCUGCGCCUUGCACAAGAUCAAACAUGUCCACCCUCGUAGUUGGAAGUUAAGGGAUGCGGCGCGUUAUCAUUGCAUUAUCUUGAAAUAGAAUUUUUAGUGGACGGUACGCGUUUGUGGGUGGCAGCGAGUAAAUCAUUUACACUGUGAUAAAUAAAACUCGCUACGUUCGGCAAAUGCGGUUUGUUGAUAAAUGAAAACGGAUUUCGAUUUCAUAAAAUUUCCUCGCGCAGUUUGUAUGUAGGUUCAUGGUUAGGGUCUUGAUUCGAAAGCUCUGCUCUAGUCACUAUAACUUUGUUAUAUGGUGAAUUUAUACUUUUGUGUCUGCAAGUCAUUUAUCGUAGUUAGCGACUUUCACUACUAUAUCAAUAUAAGUUUGCUAAAAAUUUCGUGUGAGAACGAAUAAUUUGUAAAAUCGACGAAAAAAGGCAAAUCAAGCAAGUAAAUAAAGAUGAAACAAAUUAGUGAUGAAGGAAUAAAUAGGGGCUUACAGUCCCGUCUCAUAAGAGAUGAUUCUUAGAAGAAAGUGGGUAUGACGGGCCGAACUAAUGCAGUGGCGAAAACACGUGCGCAUCAAGUACGGUGGUCGAGUUGGUGUUGGUCAAGGACAACGAGAGGAAGACCAGCUGCAGGUGCGCGUCGUGCAGUUGCAGGGGGAAAGGGGUGCUCGACUCAGUUACGUUUGUCAUCAGCCUCAACGUUGCAAUACCAGUCCGACAAUAAUGCUUUGUUGUGGACGGAGAAAAGAAGGAAGAGGAGAAGUAACUGAUAUAAGUGCUAGCCCGGGUCGACUGGCACCUACAAAUCAGUUGCGUCCCAAAGAUCCCCCUCCUAUGGUCAUACAAGGAGAUUUUCGAAAGGUGAGUGGAAUCAGCACGGAGAUCUUCAAGCAAAUCGAAAUAGUUGAGAACGAUCAUGAUGCUUCAACUGCGGCUGCUCUGGAAGCAGUGGAAAGGCACGGAGAGAUGGUGGUACGAACUAUUGAACCUCGACAAAUAGGAAGACAAGCUGCAGGAGCUAAGAAAUUCACUGCCUUUCAGGAUUCUAAACAUCUUGUGCACUUUGUAGAGAUAAUCAAAAGACCAGGUCAAACGUUGGGAUUGUAUAUACGCGAAGGUAACGGGAUUGAUCGCAAUGAUGGUGUUUUCAUAUCAAGAAUCGCCAUAGAGUCAGCGGUCUACAACAGUGGCUGUUUAAAGGUCGGCGAUGAGAUUUUAGCAGUAAAUCUCGUAGACGUGACGCAUAUGAGUUUAGACGAUGUAGUAAUCUUAAUGUCCAUACCGAGAAGAUUAGUUUUGGCAACACGACAUGGACCUCACCAAACAAUCGCUCAAAGCCGUCAAAAUGAGCACAAAGCCCCGCCGGUAGUAGUUAUUAAACGGGAACUCAAUGAGGAUGAAAAUGAUCACGUAACUAAUAACCAUAUUAGUAGAGACAGUAACAGACGGAGAGGUGAUGGAAGAGAAAUGCUUCCAUCUCGAUCGAGGCUUGGUCUUAAUGGUUUGGAGUCUAAUCAAGAUACUAAUGCUAGUAAUGGUGAUCUCUAUUACAAUUCUAGACCUGAAGGGCAUUGGUCCUACCAACCUCCACCACCUCCAAUUAUUACACAUCAGCCGAAACCUUCGACAACCCAACAUUUUCAACCAUAUGAGCGAGGAUAUCCAAAAACCUUGGAAAGCCUGGCUGAAAAAGUACAUUCGUUUUACACAAGCCCUAUGAUGCCGAAUGGCAAUCGUCGAAUGUCAGCUGGUGGUAUUCAAUCGGCAGGAAACAGACUUUCAGGGCAAACCCAAGGAUACGGAUAUUCUCAACAUACACCAAGUGGAAGAAUAAUGCCACGAAGUGGUUCAGAUCAGCAUCUACCACGAGUAGAUUAUACAAAUAUUUCGACUCCAGCACGCCAUACUCUCCUAAGAUCAAAUUUAAAAUCAGGUUCUUCUACUUUGCGAUAUAACACGAGAUAUGGUACUCAGACUGAUGUUCCCUCUUCGUCACAACGAAAUCAGAAUCAAUUUGGAAUAUUGACAAGAAGACAUCGACCUUCUAUUGAUUAUGCUUCGGAUACUGAGGCUACUUGUUCUAAUUCCCCACGAUCAACAUAUUAUUACUAUAGACACAAUAUGAAAGAUCAAUCUCAAAGUAAUGCAGUGUCUCAUUUGGCAACAAUGUCAAGAACUCAAAUUGGCCAAAGUUCAGGUGGUUUAAGAUCAAAUUCACUACCUCGUAGUGGAAGAGCAUUACCGCAACAGCCAAAUCUUCGAACAGGACUUACUACUGUUGCUUCAGGUCUUAUUGAUCAGGAAGAUAGUGAUGGUGCACUUUCAGCACCUGAAUUACCGUCAUUUAGACGUGAUAGAGGAAGGAUACCUUCAUCCCCUAGUGUAUUUACAUCUGAUGAAUAUCGAGCGUGGUUAAGUCGGACACCGAGUACGAGUGCAUUGUAUGAGCAAAUAAGAGCGACAACCAACAGACCACCGCGGUACACUUAUAGUGCUGAGAAUAUUCAUGCUGCGGUCAAUCAGAAAUCCGAGUAUGGGAACUAUGGUUCGUAUAGGCCUCUACCAAGUACGCUAGAUCGACUUUCCACAAGAUCCGCAUCGGCUCAGCAAGUCAAUUUGGCUAAUUUGAGAGCUUCCACAGCAGUAAGUUCGACGUCUCAUCGGCCUGGACCAGGACAACGAUCUACUUCAGUAACUCCAAAUGCUAGGACUGUUUUAAAUGGACAGAAACCUUCUUUAAGUACAGUUGCUAAUCAACGAGCAAAUUCUGUAAGAAGAAUCAGAAAUUUAUUAGAAUUAGAACAAACUAGAAAUAUACCUACACCAACCCCGACAAGAACUCAAGAUCAAAGACUGCUAGAUAUUAAUCCUGCAGAAUUUCUUAAGUAUAAAAUAGAAAAGCCACCAAUAGUUGGCACGCCUAGCUCAACAAGCUCGCUAUUAAGUUCCCUCGGUGAUACUUCUAGUAGUGAUUUCACUAGCGGUAUCAGUGGAUUACUCUGGGUCCAUCUUCUGGCUGGUCGUGGUCUUCGAUCAACGACAUCUUCAUCAGCUGCUACAACACCUUCUACACCAUCAGGUCAACCGAAUAUAGCUAAUUGUGGUUUAAGAGAUCUAUACUGCGUUUUAGAAUGUGAUCGAGUGCAUAAAGCCCGUACUGUUGUACGUACGGGUGAUCUUAUGUUUGAUUGGGAUGAAACCUUUGAAUUAGAUUUAGUCGGAAAUCGUCAACUUGACUUACUUGUUUAUUCGUGGGAUCCCCAACAUAGGCAUAAAUUAUGCUACAAAGGAUCAGUUCAUCUUGCGACACUACUUAAAGAGUCUCCAAUCCAUCAAUUAGCUCUUAAAGUGGAGCCUCGAGGAACUAUUUACUUAAGAUUACGUUAUACAGAUGCUCAUCAAACAUUCAAAAGACGAGGACUUCCAGUUAUAUCUUUGACCACUAGAAUCGCGCCUCUUUUCGGCGUCGAUCUAGAUACAGUGGUCAGUAGAGAGAGUAAAACUGGUGGAGUGCCUGGUGGGGUUUCCACAGCAUUGGCAAUGAACAAUGCAAUAAAUAUUCCAAUAAUCGUCUGGCGCUGCGUUGAAGAAGUUGAAAGACGAGGACUUGAUAUAAUUGGUUUGUAUAGGCUUUGUGGAUCAGCUACUAAGAAAAGAAUACUUAGAGAGGCCUUUGAGCGCAAUGCUAGAUCAGUAGAUCUUUCUCCUGAUAAUGUGCCUGACAUUAAUGUCAUUACGGGAGUACUUAAAGAUUAUUUAAGAGAACUACCAGAACCACUGUUCACUAAGUGCCUCUAUCAAAUGAUGGUUGAUGCAUUAGCUGUAUGUCUCCCAGAUGAUCCACAAGGUAAUGCUAAACUCAUGUUUAGCAUUCUUGACUGUUUACCAAAAGUGAAUAAGUGUACCUUGAUAUAUUUAUUGGAUCAUUUAGCAUUGGUGUUGUCACAAUGUAACAAAAUGUCACCAGCCAGUUUGGCGGUUUGUUUCGGACCAGUAUUAAUGUUACAUUCAGAUGACUCAUCGCUUUUAGAUUUUCAACAACCCAUUGCAGUUCUGAAAUACCUUCUUGAGAUAUGGCCAGUCAAGUCAGUUCGGAAGAUUUCUUCAGUCGGUUCAACACUUCCUCGAGUUACGCCAGCAAUCGGGCUUACCAGCAGUACCAGCAGCAGCAAUAUUAUCAGCAAUCACCAUCCAUCACUACCACAACUUCAUCAGUUAUCCCAGCAACAACAAAAUCCUGUAUAUCAGGGCACAUUAACUCGAACCGCGCAGCCUUGGCAGCCGCCACUCUCACUUCAUCAUCCAUCUCUCAGUUUAGCUCCUAUGGGAUACGCCCCAUCAACUCGUCCACCACUACAGGGCAAAUCAAAUCAGGUGAUAAUAUCAUCUCCCGGUUCACCUAGCAGUGAGGAAUCAGCUUCACCUGAGCCAAAUAACAAAAGUAUACAAAAUAAAUCUAAUUCGACGACUGAAACAACGUCUUCAACAAUAAUGAAUUCAACUAGAAUCGAACAAAGUACUCCAACAAGUAAUGCAGACACUGAAGAAGGAAAUCAACCACAAUCAAAUGAUCGUGAACACGGAGUUGAAACUGAUGGUGAAGUUAGUGAUGAUGAUCAAAUUUUAAAACGUAACGAACUUUAAAUAUUUAAUGAAAUUUGUCAAACUAUUGGUAAGAUAUCAAUCAUAACAAAUAAGUCGGCACAAAUUAAAUAAAAUUUACAAGAUAACGCCAAAAGUCUUUUCAUAUCUGUUCGAUUAAUACACAUUAAUACACAGUCUGACCAAUGCAUCAAUUGGAACCAAAUCUUUGAUUUCGAACUCUGAGCCAUCCGGCAUGUUAAGACUUACGCACACUUCAGCACUGCCGUGGAUGGAACGAAAAUUAACAUAAUGGAUAGUCUUGAUAAAAAAAAUCUUAUCAAGUAUUUAGAACAUAAGCUUAGUAUUAACAAUAUUAAUUUAUGUAAAUUAUUUGUAUAUUGAUUGUGACAUUAACUAAGCUUGACUUUGAUAUAUGUCUCUAAAUAUAAGCUGGAGAAUUGAUAUAAUUGAUAAUUAAUAAUUAAUAAUUAAAACAGUUAAUACAAAAAUGAAUAAUGUAUAAAUAAAAGAAUAAUGCUAAUAGCAUCUAUAAUAAUGACAAUGAUAAGUAUAUUUACCAAUAUUUAUAUGAUAACUGUAUGACUGAUUUCAAUUACUUAUAAUUGUGCUGUAGUGUAAAAACGAAAAUACAACUUUAACUGACGAAUUGAUAAAGUAUGAGUGCUGCCCAGAAAACUGGAGUGCUUGUGUAGUUUGUAUUAUCAUUUCGAAAAUAAAAAUUAUAAUAAGAAUCUUAAUUACAAUUGUACAAGAUAAUAAAGAAAGAAAAAUGUAUGACUUGAAAAUAUAAGUGUCCAUCACCGACCGCUCUGUUUCGAAAUAAACUUAUACAUAAGAUAUUUCUUAUUUAAAAUGUAAUUGAAUGAUUUCGAUCCAUAAGAAUCGAAAUAAAAACAUAGAGAAAAGUAAAAGAGCAAAAGUAUAAAUAACAAUGCAUAUAGAGAAUAAAAGGCGAAAAUUUUCAAACAGAGACGGUUACAGUGCUCUUAAUAUUAGUCGAUCAUAAGUAUAGAAAUGUAGAACUGCGUAAUAUUUUUUAGGGAUAGAUAGUAAAAUUGUUGUUUUGUUGAUUGUUUUUAAUAGAUUUUAUUAAACUGUUCCACGUCUUGUAUGGUUAGAUCAACAAACCAUAGGCGUGAUCUAGAAAAUUCAUGUAAAAUUUCCAUCUAGCUUAUUAGGUGCUUAAAUGAUUAAUAUAAGUAGAAGUAUUCAUCAUUUAUGCUCCAUGAAAAUUGAAGAGAUAGUGUUUAUUAUUAUUUAUACUUAUAUAUAUAUAUAUAUAUAUAUAUAUAUAUAUAUAUAUAUAUAUAUAUAUUUAUCGAAACAAAUCAUUAUUUAACGAAUGAAAAAAAUAAUUAAACAUUUUCUUCAGUAUUAAUUGUGUAAUAAGCGAUUUACAGAAAAAAAAGUAGAUAAAUAUUUAAAAUUUGAACGAUUCAGAACAAUCUGUUCUUAUUAUUUUGAAAUAAAAACUUCCAGAUUUUUUGACUGUAGUAGAAUUCCCAAAGGUGGCUUAAAAUCUCUCUAACUAUUUUUUCUCAAUAAAAAACGAAUAACUGGUAAAUUUCUGUUUAUUGUACGUCAUUAAAUUAAAUAUAAAUAAAAUCAAUUUUAAAAGUUGCUAAUGAUUGAUAACCUUUUUACAAGUGUUUAAUUAUUUUAAUAUUGGAUUGAAGGCAGAGCUGUUUCUUAACUAUGUUUACUUUUUGAAUUUGAUGAUAAUAUAUGAGUAAAUGGAGUAAUAUAUGAGUAUUGUGGAAAAAGUUCAAGUAAUCAGAUAGCAAAGUAACAGAAAAAUCUAAGAUCGAAAGAAUUCUGAAUCGUCCUCACCGAAGCGCAAUAUUUUUUAUCUUAAAACUUGAGUAAAUUGUAAAAUUAAGUAAACAAACGAUUAAUUAAUUAAGAUCCGGUUUUUCAAUCUACGAUUUAAUUAAAUUUGAUAUUAAUUUAUCGUUGUAAAUUUAAAAUUGAGUAAGUAAACAGGAAAAUCGAAAUAAUUUUUUUUAAAAAAAAGUAAAAAAACAAAAAAAUUUCUAAAUAUAUUUACAAUUUUGUACACAUCGUUUUCAAAAAUAAAAUGUACGAAUGAUUUAGAAAGAAAUAAAUUGAAAAUUUCAGAACUUUUAGUAGAGUGCUGGAUGUGACAUUCCACAACUGUAUACAUCAUACAGAACUAAACAUGUUUCUUGAUUAUAACACUAACAUAAUUUUAACUUUUUGAUAAUCUUUUACUAUUUCAUUAGCGAUUAUCUGUUUUGUUUAAUAUUUCAAUGAAUCAUUCGAAAAAAAUUAAGUUCUAUGCAGUAAAUAAAAAUAUAUUACUCUAACUGAGUGUUAAAAACUAAUGUUUCUAAACAAAACACAAUAUGCGGUGAACUAUAUAAAACAAAUUAAAAAUAAGGUAAAAGAUCCAGUAUGCGAUCAUUUUUUGAGUUAUGUGAGAUACGCUUAAAAAAUUAGUAAAUAUAAUACAAUGUUUUUUUUUCAUACGUCUUAUGAAAGUUUUAAAUAUCAAAUACACAGGUCCAAAUGAAAUAUAGUGUAAAUAUUUAAUUAUUGUUAAUGGUCAAAUUCCAUAAAUUUAAUGGACCAUUAGUCGAUCACAAAAAAAAAAAAAACGUUUGAUACCUAAUACUUGAUCAGAACAUCCCAAGUAUUUUAUGAGUAUUUAAAUUCAAAAUUCCUAAAGUUUCCACUUCCACUUGAAUGUAAAUUUAUGGCUUUUUAAAUAGUAUUCUCUAUUUACAGUAAAUUAAUAAGAUGGUCAAUAAUAUAUUAUUUGAUAUCGAAUGGAUAUGUAGAAAGAUUUAUGUAAAAUUUAUAUUUUACCCCACAUGAUGUAAACAUUAAAAAUUUAUGUUUUAAAAGUAAUUAAUUAAAAAGUUUAAUUUUCAGAUAUUUUACGAUUGCUUUUUCAAAUUGUUAUGAUUUAUAGAAAUACGUGUGAUAGAAAAUUCAAUGACAUUUAUGUACAUUGACAAAAUUUAUUUGUAUCAGAAUAUUUAUGUUUUCGAUAAUUGUGGACUAUCUUAUUUUUUGGAUGGAUUCCUUGGUAGCUAUAACUAUUUUUCUAAGUUGCGAAGUAUUAUAAAUUAAAAAUCGUUGCAUUAUCGUUAUUAGAGAGUAUAUAAAAUAAAAAUAUAUGUAAAUGUAAAAAAAUAUGUGUUAAUAACUCGAGUAGGAAAAUGCAUAAUGCUAUGUUUAUUAAAAUAAUAAUACUUAGAGUGUUAUGCGUUUCAGAGUGGUCGAUCAAGUAAAUAAAUAAGUUAUUACGUAAUAGCAUACUCAGAUUAAAAAUUGAUCAAUGUACCAUAUCCACGAUGAAAAAAAAUAUACGGCAUAUAUAAAAUAUUAAUGAAUUGUAUAAUCACAGAUGUUCUCCAAGCAACAUUCAGUUAAACAAAGUGGUAUGUAUGACAAGUACAUAUGCUAAUAAACCAUGAAGCAAUUUUUGUUAAAUGUAUAAAUAAAAGUUUGAACGGAAAAUAAUAAAUACCAUAUAUUAUAGAAAUAAAUUAAUACAUAAACUGUUAAAAACAACAACAAAAAAAAAAAACGGAAGAAAAAAAAUACCGAAAAAUAAUCAAUAAUAACAUCAAUCUCUUAUUUAUCUCACCUAUAAUAUAUGCAAUAUCAUUAUAAUAUGCUGCCAUACAUAAGAAUACAUGUCUAUUAUAUGAAAUAUAUGAUUGAAAUAUAAAGAAUAAAUGUGUUAUUGGUAA